UGUAAUUAUAAAAUAAACCAUACCCUAGCAGGCAAAUCAUUUUAAUGUGUUUUGAGGAUUGAAUAUUCUGUAUGGAAUUAAAAACAAAGAAAAAAAAUCAACGUGCAGAAAAUUAAUUAAAAAGAGGUAAGACACAGAAAACCUUCGAGUGUCAUAAAAUUACAAAUACAAAAGCAACAAAUUAAAACACAUACACACACACAAUUACAGGUUUUGGUAACAUUAGUAGCCAGAACAUACUCAGUGAAUUGCAUACUUGUCAAAUAUCUUACUGAUUUUGAAAGGGGGGUGGGGGGCUGGUGGUGAUGAUUAACUUCAGUUGACCCCAAAGGAUCUGAGUCUUCCUUCCGCUGCUAGCAAACCUGUAAAGGUGGCAUCGAGUCACUUUGCAAAGUGUUCCUUUGCUCAAAGAAAACUGACCCGGAAGGUUGAUUCCCUCAGCCCUGCCCCACCACCACAUCUGCACAUUCGUUUACCUCUUUUAACUAAGGCAACCAAAAGACAAUUUCUUGAGACCCCAACACACCCUCAGAAGCCAUAAAUUCCAUUCCUGUUAAAAAAGAGGAAUUAACUUCCAAGCUGAGGGCAGGAAUUCUGUAAAGUGUGGGAUGGUUCACUGUUACAGAGUGUGUGUUGAAAUGUCUCUAGAGGGGGUGGAUGGCAGUGGAUGAAGACCCCGGCAAGCCCUGGGUUGAGCAGUGACCUGUAUGAGAAAGGUGACACACGGGUCAGUCCUCAGGGAUGGUUUCACCUCUAUACACACCGCUGAGGUAGGAGCUUCGGGAGAAAAGCAGAGUAUCUUAAGGGAAUGAGAACGUCAUCUUGGCAAAUCAGUGGCCUCUUGCUCAGUUGGGGGCCUAAGGCGGUCAGAGUCACAGGCCACGCGGGGCCACGCAUGACCUUACAAAAUUUAAGAGUUGUAUCAGAACACAGCCACAGAAGGGAGUGAGAUCCAAGACAAAGCCACUGGAGGCGGGCGAGACCCACAGGGCACCUGCUGUCUAGUGCAAGUUCAAGGGGGUGGAGUGGGGGACAGGGGGGUGAAGUGGAAAACCCUGGCAGCAACCUACAAAACUGUUAUUAGCAAAUGGUAUCAAAAAGUAUCAAAACAUUUCAAAAAACUUUAAAAACUGCCAGGCUCGGCAGACGUAUAGGGAGGGAUCUCCAAGUGCCCAGGGAGUUGCCCUGCACUCCAGAGGUUUAUUCUGGAGGCCAGAACACGGCCCCCUCUGCUCCUCACUCCACUGAAGAUACUUGGAAUCCAUGGAGAUGCCAAGGAUGGAGCUGGCCCUCCAGAGGUGGGGGUGGUGGUCUGAGAUUCCAGCCAAAAGCUUUGAGACACAGAAAGCCCGUGAGGUACUCCUUAGGCAGGUGCUGGCUAAGCCACAUGCCAUGGAGAACCAGAAAAGAUAAAGGCUGAUAACUCUACAAGGGGGUGGGGGUGGAGGUCUUUCACUUCCGGCGUUGCUGCAAACCAUUGAAAGGUCACCCUGGCUUUGGGGCCAGGUAUUGUGAACUGCAGGUUAAUACACCUGAGCUCACAGCGUGGGACCUGGGACCUUGGACCUCAGAGCAGGGACUGGGACCCCAUUCCCUUUGGCAUUUGGGCUUCCACCCAAAACUGAAAACCCCUUAGGGUUAGCUUCUGGAGUUUCUACUAAGUCACCGUGAGGUCCCCUUAUCGUUAAAGAGCAAGGUGAAGGGGCAUUUAGAACAUAAUUACACACACAAGCCUUUCUGCUCAGAUCAAGAUCUGAAAGUCCUACCUGGCAGUCUAAAAUGCUAAAAUGUUAACACUCGACAUCUAAGAUGUUAAAAAUGCCGAUUGAGCCAUACGCACAAGUUGCUAAGACAACCUCUGUAUAUUUAGCAGGAAGACCACUCUAAGUAACAAGGACUCCCCAGCUUUCUAGUCUCCUCCCUUCUGGUAUUACAUUUAUGUCUUAAGCAAACAGGGUUCCAACUUGGGUGACGAUCAAACUCCAAGCAUACAAUGGAUGCGAAGCUACAACUCUAGUUCUUUAAAAGUGAGAGAAAAAUAAAUCCUGAAUGAAAGCCCACUCUGCUUAUUCUGAAAGAUCAAAAGAAACGAUUUGGGUGUUCUCAAAGUUCUCAAAGGCAGCAAAAUGGUGCUGUUGCGUCUCAAGAUGAUGGCCCGUAAGAACCCAAUCUUUGUCACUGGGCUUGGAAACCACUACCAGGAUUCUUCAGUUCAAAUGGCCACCUCCAAGAGUACAGCCCCAAGUUCUGCCCAUCUGGGUUAAGAAGCAUUUCCUUCCAUCCUCAGUUGGACAGCACAGCAGAGUGAUUGCCAUCUUAACAACAUGGGCAGCAGAUACCCAUCAUGGGUCCCAUCACAGUGCAAAUGCGGCUCACCAGUCACAAUGUUCCUUUCCAUCAACACAGAUAAGCUCAAAAACCUUUCUUAGCAUGGGGAAACCACCUCCAAUUACGUGAGGCUCAUCCAUGAGAAGAAACUCAUCAACCUUACCUUUAAAAGAACCCUAACGAUAUUAGAUUCCAAGCCACAUAAAUGACAAACUGCCUUCACAGUGGCAGGAGUGACACCACAAAGUAUGAGGUGCAGGACAUGGUAUGGAAUUCACAAGGCACAAGAAAAUUUGAAUAGCACCAGCACUGCACCUGUAUCUGGGGAUAGGUCACGGUAGUCAAAAAUACAAUGGCUGGCUUCGGCUAAAAACUGAAGGCUCUCCUCUUCCCGAGGUCAAAGCCAUCCUGCUCCCCAAAGCACACAUGGAAUCUGUGUGCUUUUCCCCACCUGCCCCAGACUCUGAUUCAACAACCACCUCUUUGUGACUUAGAACAGAUCACAGGUACCAUGCCUUCUAAAGGGUCCUCUAAUAAUAAAAUCUUUCCUGGAAUAGGAAGAGGGUAAGCUAUACCAAAGUUGGCAGAAGUUCUGCAAAACAUGGUUUGUGGAGGGCUGGACAAGGUAUGAGACCAAAAAAAAAAAAAGUUUCAGGCUCAGUGAAGUUUGGAAAUGCUGGAUUGAUAGAAGGUUAACUGUUAAGUUACCGCAGGACUUCUCAGAGCCUUUAAUACACUCGAGUAUUGUAGAGCUCCAAGAGUCUUUUUGGUUUGAUUGUUGGCAUGCCUUGCAGAACCUCUAGGGACUUCCAUGUGCACAAGCUAGCUCAGUCAGCAGAACCCUUGCUCCGCUGACAACAGAGGGCAAGGAUUUAGGUACUGAAGCUUUCAACGCCCCCUCCACUCAAAAUCACAGUAAUCCCUUAAAGGAAAGAAAAAGAAGUAAAGAGAUAGUUUAAAAAAAAAAAGUAAAUAAGUUAACUGGGAUUCAUAGUCUAACAUCAAGGUUAACAAGAGAUCUUGAAGCGUUCUCUGCUAUGUGAUCUUUGUCGAAAUGGAGAUCACGAACACCUCCCCCGUCCCUGUGUCCACAGCAGCUGGGGCAGGAGUCCCCAGCUGGCCUCUGAGGGCACAUGCUACUAGGGGUUCCUACAGAGAUCAGCGCAUGGCGCUCACACAUGGCAAAAGGAGGUGCCAAACACACAUUAAUAGCUUAUAUGUACUGAAUUAGCUCGCUGAGCCCUGGGAGGCAGUGGCUUUGACCAACUGCUCAAUGAGUGAGGAACAGCUAGGACUUGGUGAAGAAUUUGCUCAGCAGACGACAAAACGACUUAGCAGCAGACGGCUGAGUUGGGCGGGGGGGCGGGGGUACCUGACAUCCUCCUUCAGGAGCACAUUGUGCUCGGCUUGCUCAUGGAGGUGCUCUUGAGGGCUUUGUGGAGCCAAGCCAAAGAAAACAAUGGCAAAUUCUAGGAUGCCCACUUUUUCUUUCCUGAGAAACAAACAUAGAUUUUUGGGGGCUCAGUAUGUCGGUAGCAUAAGGAAGUAAGUUCGGGGAAAAAAAAAAAAACAACAAAAGAGCACAAAUAACAGAAAAAUGUAAGAGCUUCAUGUCCCCCCCCCCCCUUUUUUUUUAAGUUCCUUGAUUAUCUAGACCCUUUCAGAACUCAGGAAGAUAACCAAUCAGGAAAAUGGGACUACUCAGAAACAACAGUCACUGUUUCAGGAAAUCCUGGUGGGAACAUCUUCUGGUGAGAAGUUUCAGGUCUUGCCUGACUGUCCAGGGAGUGGGCAACCCACUCACCCUGCCGGGGUCUCCGUGUCCCCAAACAUAAACACAAAAGCACAUGACGUUGCCCAGGAUUGCCAAAGGUGGCUCAUGCUGUCAUCCUGGGAACUGGUUAUAGUUUCCAGGCACCGCCCCCUCCGCCCCUGCUCCUGGUAGUUUUAGGACGGAUAAUUCUGAGGUGGGGCCCAGGAAUCUGUAUGUUUAAAAGAUCAGCCAAGUUGAGGGAGGCGGGAACUGGGGAUGGGAACUGUCCCACCAAGCCCCCUCAUUUUACUUACAAAACUUUCUGUAUAUCCUCUGCCCUUGGAGACUCUCAGGAGGACGGCUGCGGGGGCACCCUCAGGGACUCAUAAUGAGGGAGGAAGCCUCACACAGAUACAAGGGGAUAUUUCCUGCCUGGGCCCGGGUUUAAUUAUUCA
rnacentral:lncRNA from 1 species